rnacentral:rRNA from 1 species
UACGGGGGGGGGCGAGCGUUGUUCAGAAUCAUUGGGCGUAAAGCGCACGUAGGCGGACUCUUAAGUCGGGGGUGAAAUCCUGGAGCUCAACUCCAGAACUGCCUUCGAUACUGAGAGUCUUGAGUCCGGGAGAGGUGAGUGGAACUGCGAGUGUAGAGGUGAAAAUUCGUAGAUAUUCGCAAGAACACCAGUGGCGAAGGCGGCUCACUGGCCCGGUACUGACGCUGAGGUGCGAAAGCGUGGGG